rnacentral:rRNA from 1 species
GACGAACGCUGGCGGCGUGCUUAACACAUGCAAGUCGAACGGAAAGGCCCUGCUUUUGUGGGGUGCUCGAGUGGCGAACGUGUGUGUAACACGUGAGUAACCUGCCCUUGACUUUGGGAUAACUUCAGGAAACUGGGGCUAAUACCGGAUAGGAGCUCCUGCUGCAUGGUGGGGGUUGGAUAGUUUCGGCGGUUGGGGAUGGACUCGCGGCUUAUCAGCUUGUUGGUUGGGUAGUGGCUUACCAAGGCUUUGACGGGUAGGCGGCCUGAGAGGGUUACCGGACAAAUUGGGAAUGAGAUACGGCCCAGAAUGAAACGGGAGGAAGGAGGGGGGAAUAGUGAAAAAUGGGAGGAAGCAUGAUGCAGAAACGCAGCGUGCGGGAUGACGGCCUGCGGGUUGUAAACAGAAUGAGAAUGUGAAGAAGAGUGAGUGACGGUAAUGGGUAAAGAAGCACCGGCUAACUACGUG